AUACAGAGGGUGCAAGCGUUAUUCGGAAUUACUGGGCGUAAAGCGCGCGUAGGCGGAUGAUUAAGUCUGUUGUGAAAGCCCUGGGCUCAACCUAGGAACUGCAUCUGAUACUGGUCGUCUAGAGUUUAAGAGAGGGAAGUGGAAUUCCAGGUGUAGCAGUGAAAUGCGUAGAUAUCUGGAGGAACAUCAGUGGCGAAGGCGACUUCCUGGCUUAAAACUGACGCUGAGGUGCGAAAGCGUGGGUAGCGAACGGGAUUAGAAACCCUAGUAGUCC
rnacentral:rRNA from 1 species